rnacentral:lncRNA from 1 species
CUUUGAUAUAAAGGUUUUACAUAUUCUUCAAACUAUUUUUUAUCUAGCAAUGGAAACAAUGAGGAAACCAUACAAGCAGUCUGCUUAUAUGCAUGCCUGAGAACAAACAGGCUGCCUGUGUAUUGCCUUUGGUAGAAAUACCCAUAUCUCAGUUUGAGUUCACCAAGCAAAGCUGCUUGGUGAGUAAACCAGCAAACAAGCUCUUCCUUGCAGACUUUAGCUAACCUCCCCUUGUUGUCACUUGGAUUUUGGCAGGAGUGAAAUCAAACUCAUCAGCUUGCUCAUGUAUGUGUGUGUCCUGCCACCUCAGGUCCUCUAGCUCACGUGCCUGAUCCUCCUCCACCGCACCAGGCACAUGCUAUAUGCAGGGCCCUGCUUUCCUUUUCUCCCCAAGGUGUGUGUUGAACUUGCAGCACAAAUGGGCUGCCUGCARCUGCUGGUGAGACCCAUGGCCAAAGGAGGAAGCAUGCUCAGGACAAGCCACCUUCCACACUGAGUCUACAUGCACCAGGAGUCAGAGGCCAAACAGGUCCUUGUCCUCUAAGCCUGAUGCCAGAGAGGAACCACUACCACUACCGCUACCACUCCGGCCCCAAAGUGGCUGUCACUCCAUGACAGAAACAAGUGAUGCUGCCAAGGAGCUCCCAGUGAGGAGCCAUCGCAUUUGGACUGUACCACUCCAUUAUGAAGUUAUCUGGUUCCUCUAACCUUCAGAUCUACUGGAGCCAUCUGCUAUCCCUGACAUUAAUGGAGGAAGGAAGGUGGAAAGCUGGGACUGCGUUAGGCACACUUGAAACUGGGUUUGGGUGCCUGUUUUUGGAUUUAAUGGAGAUUGCUGGUUUUAUACUUAAUUUCGCCAGUCUGCAUUUUCCUGUAUAUCAAAAGCACAUAGAGAUGUGAAUAGACCAUUUUCAUGUUUCAUAUAAAUCUAUUCAAGUGAAGAAAUAAAUAAACACUGUUACAAUGGAGUAAGAGUGAA